rnacentral:rRNA from 1 species
GACGAACGCUGGCGGCGUGCUUAACACAUGCAAGUCGAGCGGUAAGGCCCUUUCGGGGGGUACACGAGCGGCGAACGGGUGAGUAACACGUGGGUGACCUGCCCUCAGCUCUGGGAUAAGCCUGGGAAACCGGGUCUAAUACCGGAUAUGACUCCAUGACGCAUGUUGUGGGGUGGAAAGCCUUGUGCGGCUGAGGAUGGGCCCGCGGCCUAUCAGCUUGUUGGUGGGGGAUGGCCUACCAAGGCGACGACGGGUAGCCGGCCUGAGAGGGCGACCGGCCACACUGGGACUGAGACACGGCCCAGACUCCUACGGGAGGCAGCAGUGGGGAAUCUUGCGC